UUUAUCCACUUUGUUACAUUACAGCCUUGGGGGGGGGGGGGUUGGACUUGGAGGGCUGGUGGCCCGGCGGUUGGGAGCUUGGGCCGGUGACUGAUGGGUCGCUGGUUCGGGGGGGUCCCUGUUUUUGACUUUGUGGGAGAUUGUCGACAUGCCCUUGAGCUGGGUGUUGACCCUGGUUGCUUCUGUGUGUCGCUCUGGAUGGGAGUCUGUUACAUGACUAAUGUGAUGUAGAUGUUGAGCGUAGAUGUUGAGCGGCUUCACUGCAAGUAGAUUGUAUAUUUUAUAUAUUCAAUAAAAAAAUAAAAUGUAACAAGCCAUGAGAUCGAAGGAAUUGCUUGUAGAGGUCCGAGACAGGAUUGUGAGGCAGAGAUCUGGGGAAGGGUACCAAAAAAUGUAUGUAGCAUCGAAGGUCCCCAAGAACAUGGUGGUCUUCAUCAUUCUUACAUAGAAGAAGUUUGGAACCACCAAGACUCUUCCUAGAGCUGGCUGUCCAGCCAAACUGAGCAAUUAGGGGAGAAGGGCCUUGGUCAGGGAGGUGACCAAGAACCCAAUGGUCACAUUGACAGAGCUCCAGAGUUCCUCUGCGGAGAUGGGAGGACCUUCCAGAAGGACAACCAUCUCUGCAGCACUCCACCAAUCAGACCUUUAUGGGACAGUGGCCAGACGGAAGCCACUCCUCAGUAAAAGGCACAUGUCAGCUUGUUUGGAGUUUGCGAAAAGGCACCUAAUGGACUCUCAGACCAUGAGAAACAAUAUUCUAGUAGUGGAAUUUUCCCUGAAAAUAAAAAAAAAAAGUGACACAAAUGGUUACAAGUGGUGGAAUCAUGCCAUAUUUAUUGUGGAGAAAUUAAAUGGGGUAUCAGUCUAUUCGGUGACACCCACAGAACACAAUUGUGAAGAGUUUAUGCAAAUAUUACCGUUUUAGCUCUUAUUUCAGCACUUUAUGGGAAAUCACUUCCCCAGUCAGCCUAUUGUGCAUAUUGACAUUCAUAUUGCACUGUACCGCCUUACCUUAGGGUUGGAGAUCAAUGAAAUGGGGUAUCAGUCUACUCAGUACCCAAGUGCUUUUUCCCCAAAGUCCCCCUCAGAGUUAUCAGACUCCAAAACAUACACAUUGUAUUGUUUUUCCUCUGGAAUAGUGUUCAAUGCACAUUGUAGGUUGACUGGUACAAUAAAUGUGGCUCAUUUCACAGUGGUUUCAGAGUCCCGCAAUAAGAGCUAAAAAGCUAAUGUUCUGUGGGUGUCACUGAGUAGACUGAUGCCUGCGUCAUUGAUCCACAAUCCAUAGGUAAGACUGCACAGUGAAAUAUGUACCGUUGGUCUCCAAUGCAAUUCUAAAGUCUAAUACAUCCACAGUGUGAUUUCAACAGAUUUUUGUCAAAUGAACAAAUUAUUAUACUUUGUUACAUCUAUAUAACAUUCCGUUUAGCAUGAUCUAUUCUAUUAUAGCACUUUUUGUAUAAAUUUGCAUAACUUUCAAUGAGAGGCUUUUAUUUUGAAGUCGAACUGCAAAUUCCACUAUUGUGGCUAAUCCUUAUUGUGUCUAGCUUCACUUAGGUGGGUCUGACCAUCAUUUAUCAAAUAACUGUUUUAUAAAUGAGGGGAUUUUAGAUUAUAUCUUUUGCUAUAUUUUUGGGGAAGAACAUUGUUUGCAUCCAUCAGCUAGCUUGCUUUUUUGUAUGACCAGCACUGUCCCAAAGCUUGGGGAUGUGUGUCUGCGCGCAAGUGUGACAGCAGGCAGGUGUGCGAGACAACUUUACCAGCAUCAUGGCAUAGGUAUCGGUGAAUCGCUGUGGCAUAUGAAAUACGAGUGAUAGUGUAAACGAUGUGAAAUAACUACUAAUGAACGUGUUAAAUUAUGUGAUGUGCAGUCAUAUUUAUGUCCUGAUUAGUCUGCAAGCUUAUUUGACACACAAAGACGAGAAUGGCGCUCAAAACCUGGCUACGCAGCUUGUUGACGCGCGAGCAGUUUGGAAGAAAUUGAAGGCUGAAGCGCAAGAGGCGAAAGAUGACGCAGAGAUCCAAGUAGACUGCCUCCCCCUACAACACCAUGGCUGUGACCCUUCUGGACACAACACGGGACCAAAGAUCUCAUGUUCAAAGUCUGAUCCGGGCUGUGCCAUCCAUGCCAAUGAGAGGCUGCAAAGAGACAGUGAUACUGUUGUCUUGGUCAAGAGACUCUCUACUCUUCUACCAAACCUACCCUACUCCAUUGUUUUUUGUUUAUACUUUCCCAAUAAAGUUUUUGUUUAUAAAAAUUUAAAAAACUGUUUGGAAGAAAUUAUUGAAUAACAUGCAUGUCUACAUUUAUUUUGCAACGCUUGCCAGCGGUGUGGUCAGCAUGUAACAUGCAUACGUCCGCAUGUUGAUUUUGUCCAUCCACACCAGAUGUGAUCAGGACACGCAGGUUGAAAUAUCAAAACAAACUCUGAACCAACUAUAUUAAUUUGGGGACAGGUGGUAGCUCAGUUGGUAGAGCAUGGCGCUUGUAACGCCAGGGUAGUGGGUUCGAUUCCCGGGACCACCCAUACGUAGAAUGUAUGCACACAUGACUGUAAGUCGCUUUGGAUAAAAGCGUCUGCUAAAUGGCAUAUAUUAUUAUUAUUAUAUUAUUAAACAUUGCUUGCUGUUGAUAGCUAAUUUGUCCUGGGAUAUAAACUUUGGUUUGAUGUUUUACCUGAAAUGCACAAGGUCCUCGACAAUUAAUCCACGGAUAAAAGGGUUACCCAAGUUUUUCUAGUAAUCUCUCCCCCUUCAGGCUUCUUCUUCUUAUUCUAUGUACUUUAUAUGGCGGUUGGCAACCAACUUUAAGGUGCAUUACCACCAUCAAUUGGACUGGAGUGUAGAACUAAGUUAAUCUUUCAAUCACCCACAUGGGUAUAUGCCUCUAAAAACCAAUGAGGAGAUGGCACGUGGGUAUAUGCUGCUAAAAACCGACGGGGGAGGAGGGACUUGCAGCGCGUCACAAAUAGAACCAAGUUCUAUUUUUAGCGCCUGAUGCGGGCAGCAAUCAACACUGCGUUAGAAGGAAGACAUUCUCCUCCCUCAUGUGGUACCCUUCCUGCAGGCUCAUCCUGACAUGACCCUCCAACAUGACAAUGCCACAAGCAAUACUGCUCGUUCUGUAUACUGCACUACUGCUUGUUCUGAUUUCCUGCAAGACAAGAAUGUCUCACGCCAUGACUUUAAAUAUCUCUGUAUUCUAUAUAUUUUGGUUAGGUCAGGGUGUGACUAGGGUAGGUACUCUAGGGUUUUUUGUAUGUCUAGGGUUUUUGUAUGUCUAGGGGUUUUGCAGGUCUAGUUUUUUUUUUUUAAAUCUAUGUUGGCCUGAUAUGGUUCCCAAUCAGAGACAGCUGUUUAUUGUUGUCUCUGAUUGGGGAUCAAAUUUAGGCAGGCCUUUUUCCCACUUUCUGGUGUGGGAUCCUGUCUAUGUGUGUUUGCCUGUCAGCACUAUAUUGUAUAGCUUCACAUUUCGUUUGUUAUUUUGUUAGGUGUACAUUCUUUUAAUAAAGAGAAUGUACGCAUACCACGCUGCGCCUUGGUCUCCUUCAUACGACGAACGUGACAGAAUGUCAGUGUUCUGCCAUGGCCAGCGAAGAGCCCGGAUCUCAAACCCAUUGAGCACGUCUGGGACCUGUUGGAUUGGAGGGUGAGGGCUAGGAUCAUUCCCCCAGAAAUGUCCGGGAACUUGCAGAUGGAAGAGGGGGGUAACAUCUCACAGCAAGAACUUGCAAAUCUGGUGCAGUCUAUGAGGAGAUGCACUGCAGUACUUAAUGCAGCUGGUGGCCACACCAGAUACUGACUGUUACUUUUGAUUUUGAUCCCCCCCUUUGUUCAGGGACACAUUAUUCCAUUUUUGUUAGUCACAUGUCUGUGGAACUUGUUUAGUUUAUGUCUCAGUUGUUGAAUCUUGUCAUCUUCAUACAAAUAUUUACACAUGUUAAGUUUGCUGAAAAUAAACGCAGUUGACAGUGAGAGGACGUUUCUUUUUUUGCUGAGUUUAUAACUGUGGCUCCUUCCACCUUCAAAGAAUAGGCAAGACAGCCAAUCAUGGAGAAUAGUAAGACACUUCAUUAUUUCUAUAACCAUGAUAUAUUUUUUGUCCUCGUGUGUCUGUGCAUGUUUUUCAAUAUAAAGUACAGCCACUUAGUGUGGACACCAAGUGAGGCCACACACAGAUUCCUGUUGAACAUGGUAUCUUUAACUACAUUAUUUUCUCAAAAAGUCUUCCUCCAAUUCAUCCCUCUCUUUCCUUUUCCCUAAAUCUGCUAGGUGAUAUCAGCUGUGUUGGUGAACCCCUCCCACAUCUGAACUGGCUACAUAGAGGGAACAGCAUAAUCAGAGGUAUGUUUUGAUGUGAGAGAGGAUGCCAACCCCCAGUUCCAUCAUCGCCACCUCACCCGCUCUUAAAACUUCUUAUGGGCAGGUGGGACGGUAGCGUCCCACCUGGCCAACAUCCAGUGAAAUUGCAGAGCGUGAAAUUCAAACUACAGAAUUAUAAAUAUUUUCAUAAUAUCACAAGUGUAAUAUAUCAACAUAAAGCUUAACUUCUUGUUAAUCCAGCCACUGUCAGAUUUCAGAAAGGCUUUACAGCAAAAGCACACCAUGCGAUUAUCUGAGGACAGCGCCCCUCUUACAAAAGCAUGAAAAACAUAUUUCAGCCAGGCAGGUGCGCCACGAAAGAAAUAGCAUUAUUAUAAAUGCCUCACCUUUGAUGAUCUUCUUCUGUUGGCACUCCAAAAGGUCCCAGAUAAAUCACAAAUUGUCAUUUUGUUCAAUAAUUUCCUUCUUUAUAUACAUAAAAACUCAGUUUAGCUGGCGUGCUUCAGUCAAUAAUCCACCUAGUUUCCCUCCAUCAAAAUGCAUACAAAUUCAUCCACAAACGUUACUAAUAAACUUUUCCAAACAAGUCAAACAAUGUUCAUAAUCAAACCUUAGGUACCCUAAUACGUACAUAAAUGAAAAAAAAUUAAGACGGAGAAUCGUUAUUGUCCUUACCUGUAGAAAAAAUACAGAAGAACGCGCUCUCUUCCACGCACUUGGAAACACUACAGCCAAAAUGAGAGCCACCUAGAAAAACUACAAUUUCUGGCUCAUUUUUCCAAAACCAGCAUGAAACUCUUUCUAAAGACUGUUGACAUCUAGUGGAAGGAACUGCAAUCUGGGAGGUAAUUCCAUUGAUUUUCCCAUACACAGCCAUUUCAAUGAGUGCUGAGCUCAAAAAAAAACAUUCCGGAUGGAUUCUCCUCGGGUUUUCUGUUAAACUCACAGACAUUAUUUUAACAGUUUUGGAAACUUUAGAGUGUUUUCUAUCCAAUGCUAGCAAUUAUAUGCAUAUUCUAGCUUCUGGUCCUGAGUAACAGGCAGUUUACUUUGGGCACACUUUUCAUCCGGACUUGAAAAUACUGCACCCUACCCAAGAGAGGUUAAGAUAACCUUCGGGCCGACUGGGAGCCCAAGGCUGGUUAGGAGACACCACUAGAGACAGUAUUAUAUACUUGUGAUGAACAGAGAAUAUUAAUAUAGCACUGUGAUUCAUUAAUUAUAUUCUGUCUUCCCUGCUCCCCUGUUCUUACCUUUUUCCCUUUCUGUCUUUUACUCCUCCCUCACCACCACCUCUUUCUUCCUCUGUUUUUAUAAUGCACACCAGAUGUGCAUUGAUGUACAAAUUGAACUUGUAUUUAUAAUAUUGUAUUACAAUUAUAAUAUUUAUAAUGUAUGUAUUAUGUAUUUAUACACUUGGAUAAUUAACUUCUUUAAAUAAAGCGUUUCACAUUCUCUA